UAUAAAAUAAAAUAAUUUGCCCAUUUCAUAGCCGAAGAAACUGAGCCUCAAAAGGUUCCACUGAUUGGCAGUUGUGAAACAGCUAAUGCAUGAAUCUAGGAUUUAUAUCUUCACUUUCAUAGGCAUAAUCAUGCUUAAAGCAAAAGGUGAGAAAAAAGAAAAAAGAAGAAAGAAAGAAAGAAAAAAGGAAAAAUUUGCACUGGAUUGAUCAGACCCUUCUAUGAGCAUGGCAGAGGAGAAGCUGCUCAUGUCCUGGCAGCUGGGAGGCAGAGUGAAGAGAGGAGGUAGAGAAGAAGAAAACCCUCACAGGCCAGCCCCUCGGUGAUCCACUUCUUCUGACCAGAUUCCACGUCCUAACAGUAAGUGA